CGCUGGCGGCAGGCCUAACACAUGCAAGUCGAGCGGAAACGAGUUAUCUGAACCUUCGGGGGACGAUAACGGCGUCGAGCGGCGGACGGGUGAGUAAUGCCUAGGAAAUUGCCCUGAUGUGGGGGAUAACCAUUGGAAACGAUGGCUAAUACCGCAUAACACCUACGGGUCAAAGAGGGGGACCUUCGGGCCUCUCGCGUCAGGAUAUGCCUAGGUGGGAUUAGCUAGUUGGUGAGGUAAUGGCUCACCAAGGCGACGAUCCCUAGCUGGUCUGAGAGGAUGAUCAGCCACACUGGAACUGAGACACGGUCCAGACUCCUACGGGAGGCAGCAGUGGGGAAUAUUGCACAAUGGGCGCAAGCCUGAUGCAGCCAUGCCGCGUGUGUGAAGAAGGCCUUCGGGUUGUAAAGCACUUUCAGUCGUGAGGAAGGUAGUGUAGUUAAUAGCUGCAUUAUUUGACGUUAGCGACAGAAGAAGCACCGGCUAACUCCGUGCCAGCAGCCGCGGUAAUACGGAGGGUGCGAGCGUUAAUCGGAAUUACUGGGCGUAAAGCGCAUGCAGGUGGUUUGUUAAGUCAGAUGUGAAAGCCCGGGGCUCAACCUCGGAAUAGCAU
rnacentral:rRNA from 1 species